GACAGAGGUGCCAAGCGUUAGGCGGAAUUACUGGGCGUAAAGCGUGCGCAGGCGGUUCGCCAAGUCAGGUGUGAAAUCCCCGGGCUUAACCUGGGAAUUGCGCUUGAAACUAGCGGGCUUGAGUGUGGCAGAGGGGGGUGGAAUUCCACGUGUAGCAGUGAAAUGCGUAGAGAUGUGGAGGAACACCGAUGGCGAAGGCAGCCCCCUGGGUCAACACUGACGCUCAUGCACGAAAGCGUGGGGAGCAAACAGG
rnacentral:rRNA from 1 species